UAAAACUUGAGUGUGGACCAAUGGACACUUUCCACCCUCAACGGCUGCCAUCUUGUCUAUGUAGCGUAGGGGGCGGGAAUUUCAAUUCGGAAAAUGGAGGACAUUGUAACAUUUGAAACCAACGUGCUCUACAAAUGUUUUUAACUGCGCAAUUACCGUGUGUGGAUUCGACUUGCCGCCCCUUUGACUCGGAAUCGCACUACACGGAUACCUGCUCAGAAAGACAAGAGAAACGCUAGUUUGGGAGAUUAAAUUCAACACAAUGAGCGGCCAACAGGGAAUGCAGAGGACUUCUGCGUGGUGUGCUCCUUUGCCGAAGAAAAUGCAGAUGAGAGCAUGAUUGAAAAGGUGCAGUGUGGAUUGUGCAGUCGGUGGGCACAUUUUGAGUGUGCCCAAUAUGCCCAUAAAAAUAAGGCUGUAUAUAUUUGCAAGAAAUGACUUCAAAUAAAAAGAUUUGAGAUCUUUUGGUUG
ensembl:lncRNA